AAUAGAUACCCGGGUAGUCCACGCCGUAAACGAUGAGUGCUAAGUGUUAGGGGGUUUCCGCCCCUUAGUGCUGCAGCUAACGCAUUAAGCACUCCGCCUGGGGGGUACGGUCGCAAGACUGAAACUCAAAGGAAUUGACGGGGGCCCGCACAAGCGGUGGAGCAUGUGGUUUAAUUCGAAGCAACGCGAAGAACCUUACCAGGUCUUGACAUCCCAUUGACCACUAUGGAGACAUAGUUUUCCCUUCGGGGACAACGGUGACAGGUGGUGCAUGGUUGUCGUCAGCUCGUGUCGUGAGAUGUUGGGUUAAGUCCCGCAACGAGCGCAACCCUUGUUCUUAGUUGCCAUCAUUUAGUUGGGCACUCUAAGGAGACUGCCGGUGACAAACCGGAGGAAGGUGGGGAUGACGUCAAAUCAUCAUGCCCCUUAUGACCUGGGCUACACACGUGCUACAAUGGACGGCACAAACGGUUGCUAACCCGCGAGGGGGAGCUAAUCCGAUAAAACCGUUCUCAGUUCGGAUUGUAGGCUGCAACUCGCCUACAUGGAACG
rnacentral:rRNA from 1 species